CGGGACGCUUGGGAAGCCCCCAGGGAAACAGGGGAAAGGCCGCGCCACGGGCUGUGCCGCCCUCCACCCCGUAGCACUGGCCAGUGCCGUUGCCCGUCUCGGCUAUGGCGGGGCUCGCUGGCGCCGGCUGCACCGCCUCGGCGAUGGGGAACGGGCCCCGGGGCCAGAGCGUCACCUUUGUGGUCGGCAUGCGGGGAGCCGCGACUCCCGCGGCUGCGUACCUGAAGGAGCACCUCAUACGGGUUCUCUUCCUGCUGGCCGCCAGGCUCACCGAGGCUGUGUUCAAUGUCAUAGCGUUUUCCAGCAAGGUGUUAAAAUGGUGCAACUGCUUGGUCAGAUGUUCACUCUGUAGUGUCACCGAAGCAGCAGCCUGGAUUAGAUCCCUGCACUUUGAGAAUGGCAUGGAUGCUGCAAGUGGCUUGGCUGUGGCAUUUGAAGACCCAGACUGUGAGGAAGUGUAUCUGCUCACCAACAUGCUCCCAGAGCAGGAAUCAGAGGAAAUCUGUCAACUUCUUGCAGAGAACAAGUUGCAUCCAGUACAUGUUGUAUGCCUUUUGGGAGAUUCAGAUGAUUAUGAAAGAGGCAAGCAAAAAACAAUGGAAAAAGUAGCCAGACAGUCUGGGGGAUCCUUUCAAGUGAUCAGACUCCCUCAUACUGCUUCUGAAAAGGUAUGCCACUAAUAGAAGAUUGCUCAAAAAUGAGUUCCUCCUGAAUCUUUAUUAGAUGGCAUUUCACCAAGUAGAACUGGUGAAGAGGAAGUUUUCUAUAACUCUCUAGAAAGGUAACCUUAUUUUGCCUGGCUGUUUAUGAGCAAAGUUGUCUGUGAACAAAGUUUUAAAAUAGAUUUGGCAUCUCUGUGACAGGCUAUACCUGAAAUCGCAAGUUGGUAUUAUCCACCCUUCUAAAUGUGCACUGCUCAUUCCUUAGAGCCCUGCUUGGGAGGAAAGGGAGCAGUUCAUGUAGCUCCUGCACAACAGGCAUUGUGACCAACGUUUGGGGUCAAAUUCAGUUAUAUCUUGGUUUAGCUCCAUUUAUUUCUGCUGAGCCAGAUUUGGCUUGUAAAGUGAUUUCACUGAGCUUUACAGACCAGCACUUGGAAAGAGGUGACACUGACAGGUGGAGGUGAAGAUCCUGAAGGAAAGAAAGAACAAAUGCCUUGUUCAGUUUCAUAUUUUCUUUGCUAGUUGACUGUACAGCUUUGCCUCCAUCCAGUUUACCAUGAUUCAUGGAUUUUAUUGUUGUUUUACCCAUCAGCAGGGGUGGCUGAAUACUGCCUUUUAAAUAAAUAAAUAACAAUAUCAUGUAAAUCA
rnacentral:lncRNA from 1 species